UCCCACAAGGUGACCUAUUGCCAUUCCGC
rnacentral:piRNA from 1 species